GGAGGUGGGAAAGCCCGCCCUGUGGUGCAGGGUUGGGGUUUCGCUGAAAGGUCCCUCACGUGAGGGACACAAUCUAAGCGGAGCCCCUA
rnacentral:misc_RNA from 1 species